rnacentral:rRNA from 1 species
GACGAACGCUGGCGGCGUGCUUUAGGCAUGCAAGUCGAACGCGAAAGCCCCUUCGGGGGUGAGUAGAGUGGCGAACGGGUGAGUAACACGUGGGUAACCUGCCCCUCGCAGGGGGAUAACCGGGGGAAACCCCGGCUAAUACCCCGUACGCUUGCUGGGGCGCAUGCUCCGGCAAGGAAAGGUAGCUUCGGCCAUCCGGCGAGGGAGGGGCCCGCGGCCCAUUAGCUAGUUGGUGGGGUAACGGCCCACCAAGGCGACGAUGGGUAGCUGGCCUGAGAGGGUGGUCAGCCACACUGGGACUGAGACACGGCCCAGACUCCUACGGGAGGCAGCAGCCAGGAAUCUUGCGCAAUGGGCGAAAGCCUGACGCAGCAACGCCGCGGGGGCGAUGAAGGCCUGCGGGUCGUAAAGCCCUGUUGUCGGGGACGAAGGGCGAAGGGUUAAUAGCCCCUAGCCCGACGGUACCCGACGAGGAAGCCCCGGCUAACUACGUG